rnacentral:rRNA from 1 species
AUGCGGGACCUGUCCUGCUUCGGCGACGGCUCUGUCGCAGUCUCCGCCGCGUCGGCGGCCUCUGUCUCCGGCCGCGGCUGCGCGCUCGACCGCUCGCUGCAGGCGGCGACCACCAGCGUGUAUAACGCGUCUCUGUCCUCCGGCAAGGGGAUCCUCAUCCGGGUCACGUGGAGCCGGAGCACCGCCGGAGCCCCGGGGCUAACCGUCGCCUUCGACAACGUGGUGUCGUCGUCAAGGAGCGCCACCCAGCAGCACGUGCUGCGGAAGAAACGCGGGAGCAGGUCCAUCGUCACCGAUUCCGGCACGGCCGUCGGCGUCCAUUGGGACGUCACGGGGGCCGAGUACUCCUCCUCCCCGGAGCCCUCCGGCGGCGACUACUACCUCGCGGUCGUCGCAGACGCCGAGCUCGCCCUCCUCCUCGGCGCGGGCGACCUAUCCCGCCGAUUCGCCUCCGGUCCUGCCGCCGCCACUGGGCACCUCGUGAGCCGGCGCGAGCAGCUGCGCUGCGCCGACGCCGAGGCCACGGCCGCGCACGCCACCCGGUGCAGGUUCCGCGAGGGCGGGGAGGAGCACGAGGUGGCGGUGCGCGCGUGCGGCGGCAGGGGCGGUGUGGAGGGGGAGGUGCGCGUCAGCAUCGACGGAGAGGAGGUGGCGGGGGUGCGGCGAGUUGGGUGGGGAUUCCGCGGCAACCGCGCGGUCCUGCUGGCCGACGGGGAGGUGGUUGACGUCAUGUGGGAUGUGCACGACUGGUGGUUCGGCCGCCGCGGCGGCGGCGCCGGGGCGCAGUUCAUGGUGAGGUCGAGGGCGGAGGAGGGGAGACUGUGGAUGGCCGACCAGCCGUCGGCAGCACCGCCCGGCGGCGUCUUCUUGCAUGUGCAGUGCUACCGGCGUUGA